UUGCUAGUAAUCGCGGAUCAGCAUGCCGCGGUGAAUACGUUCCCGGGCCUUGUACACACCGCCCGUCACACCAUGGGAGUCGGUAACACCCGAAGCCUGUAGUCUAACCGCAAGGGGGACGCAGUCGAAGGUGGGAUUGAUGACUGGGGUGAAGUCGUAACAAGGUACC
rnacentral:rRNA from 1 species